CUUUUUAUUCCCUUCUGCCAGAACUUCUUGAGAGCCGUCUUGCCACCACAAUCCAGAAAGAAACGGCUUUUCAAGGACAUAAAUCCCCUUUCUGGGGAAGCCGGUUCAAGUCAGGGUCCUGCUUUGAGGUCAAAAGAGUCCUGACUGAUGAAAUCCGAAGGGCUGUGACAUAGGCUGCACGCUGGCUAUGCACAGAGGAAGCGAGAUGAUCCAUGCCACCUUUCCUGGCACUCAGUGCGAUGUGGAGACAGCUACAAACAGCUACAAUUAUUUAAAGCCGCAAAGUGGUCAAGAGCACAAGCUUGGAAGCAGAUGGCCACGGUCACAUCCAGCUGUUACUUACCAACUUGGUAACCUUGAACGUGAUGCUCAAAUUCCAGGCCUCAGUGUCGUCUCCUGUAAAACAGAGUGACAGCAAGGAUUAAGCACGCGACAAGAGACCUGAGCACAAGGUUUCUUCACGGCUGAGGAAAGAAAACAAACUUAUAUAGAACACCAACCCCAUCACCCUCAGCAUCUCUUACAGCAGCAAAAACUUAUGAAUCAAAGGGAGUUUUCAUAAAACCAAAGUCAAACAAUAUCCCAUGGAACACAGUCGCCAGCGUUUAGCGUGCGGGUCAGAGCACGGUCUGCCGCGUCUAGACAUUCUCAUUAUUGCACGGAAGAGAUACAAACUGCCUUUCUCUGGCCUUUAUUUUGAUUAAAUCUUUAGCUGCCUUA